rnacentral:SRP_RNA from 2 species
GCUGGGUGUGGUGGUGUGUGCCUGUAGUCCCAACUACUUGGGAGGCUGAGGUAGGAGGAUUGCUUGAGCCCAGGAGGUUGAGGCUGCAGUGAGCUGUCAUUGUGCCACUGCACUCCAGCCUGAGCAACUAAGAAAGACCCUGUCUCAA